UACAGAGGGUGCAAGCGUUAAUCGGAAUUACUGGGCGUAAAGCGUGCGUAGACGGUUGCAUAAGUCAGAUGUGAAAUCCCCGGGCUUAACCUGGGAACUGCAUUUGUGACUGCACGGCUAGAGUGUGUCAGAGGGGGGUAGAAUUCCAUGUGUAGCAGUGAAAUGCGUAGAUAUGUGGAGGAAUACCGAUGGCGAAGGCAGCCCCCUGGGAUAACACUGACGCUCAUGCACGAAAGCGUGGGGAGCAAACAGG
rnacentral:rRNA from 1 species